rnacentral:lncRNA from 1 species
CCAAACACCUGUUUAAUUAAAGAUCUCAGCGUUGGAGAACUCGCUGUCGAAUUCCUAGGGCAUCUGCACUCCAUGUGUCUUACGGUCCUGGCCAAUCUCUAGGAGCCAGAUCUUUCUGUGUUUACAGCACUUUCCCCAACACUUGAGAUUAAGCACUGCCUGUUCUCAGAUCAAUAACAAUAACAAAAAUCCUGGACUAGAAGAGAGAAUCAAGAUAUUGCUUGUAAUUUCACAAAUGGCCGGAAUUUCUGCAGUCCCCGGAGUAGCAGGGCUCUAGUAAAAGGCUGCUUUCUCAGCCGCCAAAUAUUCCACAAACAUGACUUACUGAUGGAGUCCCUACAUUUGCCACUGAGCCAAGCUGGUUAGCAAAGCUAGAACUUGGAAUGUCCACCCAGAGAGAUGACAAGUUGAGCCCCAAAGGGAAUGAGUUGACAGAGUUGAGUGGCGGCCACAUUCAGGGACCCGGUCUUAGAGGCAGCGUGCCAUGAGAGGAAGGUUCCUGAAUGGGAGUCCACAUCGUGGGUGCCCCAGCCACUCGGCACCAGCUCACCCCACCCCCUGAGGCUUCAGCACCGCACCAUCCUCAGCCCCACACUGUCCUUCUCUGGGACGUCUAUGUGGCCAGCUCAGAACUCUACGUAUGUGUUUGAUUUGGCCUCUGUCUGGGUCUUGAUUGUGAGCUGUUGGGUGAGGCUCUCCUCCAGCAGCCCCUCCCUGCUUACCAGUUAACCAUGUCUGUCUGGCUCUCCCUCCCCUGAGAAUCUGGUCACCAGAUCUCCCAAGGGUCCAGGAUCUGGGUGACACACUCUAAUGAG